CAGGCCGGCCAGCUGGGAGCCAGGGGAUGAGCUAGAACCACCAGCACCAGGAGCCGGGGCUGGGAAGCACCAUCCUGAGCAGUGGGAUGAGCGUGAGACGGGAACAUUCUGGAAAAGGGGAAUAUUGGCCACCAAAAAGCACAGCAAGGGGACAGCUUCAGGCUGAACGUGCCUCCAGGCUGGCCUCCUCCAGGUCCCCAGCAGCAGGAGCAAUCCUGACCCAGUGACCCAUAAAAAAAAAGAGGCAUCCCAGAGGGGCUGCACCCACUAUCAUCCGGCUGAGCACCCUCCCCCUCCACAGGGGCAGCGGCUAAACCCGGGGCUUUGCUAAGCUGGGAUCGUGUUACAGGAACCGAGAGGAAGAGAGUUUCUGGUGCUAAGCUGCUUGAGAAUUAAGAGAUUGCUGGGAUUAACUUGUGCUAAAGCCUCCAGAUCGGCUCUGGAGCAGGGUGCCCAGGGUUUUGGACCUGCUGCAAUCAGGACUGAGGAGGUCACAAGUGAUGGGGAGGGUGAGGAUGUCCAGGAGCCCCCCAGGGAUGGAUGGGUGCUUUGAGGACCACCCUUGACCCAGCAUGUCCAGUGCUGCCCAGCAGCAGCCAUGCCAUCGAGGGGCUGGGGCCAGGGCUGUGUGGGGCUGCCAAGGAAGCUCCAGUGGCUCCAAGGCGGCCAGUUCCUACAGCAGAGCCCAACUGGGCAGCCAGGACAGGUCCCUUGGCCACCACUGGCCACCAGUCCCUGGUCCAAUGUCCCACAGCCAUCCCUGCAAAGACCCAGAGAGGGGUUGCUCCCCGGCCCCCUUGACCCCCAGGGUGUCACCUCAGUGUCACUGGGCCCCCAAAGUCCUCUAUGUCAGCAUCAAAGAGAGAUCUGCCCACCCUCUUGGGUAUGUUUUUUGCAGUGUAUCCACAAUAUUCUCACUUAAAAAAAAAUUCCCCAGAUACCCCUUUUUCAC